rnacentral:rRNA from 1 species
UUAAGCGUGUAGGUGUGUGUUCCAGGUAAAUCCGGUUCACUUUAACACUGAGGCGUGAUGACGAGGCACUACGGUGCUGAAGCAACAAAUGCCCUGCUUCCAGGAAAAGCCUCUAAGCAUCAGGUAACAUCAAAUCGUACCCCAAACCGACACAGGUGGUCAGGUAGAGAAUACCAAGGCGCUUGAGAGAACUCGGGUGAAGGAACUAGGCAAAAUGGUGCCGUAACUUCGGGAGAAGGCACGCUGACACGUAGGUGAAGUGAUUUACUCAYGGAGCUGAAGUCAGUCGAAGAUACCAGCUGGCUGCAACUGUUUAUUAAAAACACAGCACUGUGCAAACACGAAAGUGGACGUAUACGGUGUGACGCCUGCCCGGUGCCGGAAGGUUAAUUGAUGGGGUCAGCGCAAGCGAAGCUCCUGAUCGAAGCCCCGGUAAACGGCGGCCGUAACUAUAACGGUCCUAAGGUAGCGAAAUUCCUUGUCGGGUAAGUUCCGACCUGCACGAAUGGCGUAAUGAUGGCCAGGCUGUCUCCACCCGAGACUCAGUGAAAUUGAACUCGCUGUGAAGAUGCAGUGUACCCGCGGCAAGACGGAAAGACCCCGUGAACCUUUACUAUAGCUUGACACUGAACAUUGAGCCUUGAUGUGUAGGAUAGGUGGGAGGCUUUGAAGYGUGGACGCCAGUCUGCRUGGAGCCGACCUUGAAAUACCACCCUUUAAUGUUUGAUGUUCUAACGUGGACCCGUAAUCCGGGUUGCGGACAGUGUCUGGUGGGUAGUUUGACUGGGGCGGUCUCCUCCUAAAGAGUAACGGAGGAGCACGAAGGUUGGCUAAUCCUGGUCGGACAUCAGGAGGUUAGUGCAAUGGCAUAAGCCAGCUUGACUGCGAGCGUGACGGCGCGAGCAGGUGCGAAAGCAGGUCAUAGUGAUCCGGUGGUUCUGAAUGGAAGGGUGUUCGGGUUGUCAUGCCAAUGGCACUGCCCGGUAGCUAAAUGCGGAAGAGAUAAGUGCUGAAAGCAUCUAAGCACGAAACUUGCCCCGAGAUGAGUUCUCCCUGAGACUUAGAGUCUCCUGAAGGAACGUUGAAGACGACGACGUUGAUAGGCCGGGUGUGUAAGCGCAGCGAUGCGUUGAGCUAACCGGUACUAAUGAACCGUGAGGCUUAACCUU